rnacentral:rRNA from 1 species
AAAUUUAAGCGUGGUUUUUUAAAAAAAGUUUUUAAUAGUCUUUAUAUAUUUAAUUAUAUAAAAUAUUAUAUAAUAGAAGAAAUUUUUUUUAUAUUUUAAAAAUAAAAAAAAAGU